UUACCAAAAACAUCGCCUUUAGAAAAAAGAUUAAAGGUUCUGCCUGCCCGGUGACAAUAGUUAAACGGCUGCAGUAUUACUGACUGUGCAAAGGUAGCAUAAUCAUUCGCCUGUUAAUUGCAGGCUAGUAUCAACGGCUAGACGACAGAGAAGCUGUCUCCCCUUAUAUAAUUUGAAAUUAACUUUAAGGUGAAGAGACCUUAAUAAUACAGUGGGACGAGAAGACCCUAUAGAGCUUUACCUAUACUAUUUUAAAUUUUGAAUUAGUAGGUUUGGUUGGGGCAACCUCCCCUUUUUUAAAGCAGGGGAUAAUCAAAAUGUAUUAAAACAAAUAACAAGGACCCAAAACUUUUUGAUCAAAAGAAAAAGUUACCUUAGGGAUAACAGCGUAA
rnacentral:rRNA from 1 species